rnacentral:rRNA from 1 species
GAUGAACGCUAGCUACAGGCUUAACACAUGCAAGUCGAGGGGCAGCGGGAUUGAAGCUUGCUUCAAUCGCCGGCGACCGGCGCACGGGUGAGUAACGCGUAUCCAACCUUCCGCAUACUCGGGGAUAGCCUUCUGAAAAGGAGAUUAAUACCCGAUGGUAUCAAGAGAUUGCAUGAUAACUUGAUUAAAGAAUUUCGGUAUGCGAUGGGGAUGCGUUCCAUUAGGUAGUAGGCGGGGUAACGGCCCACCUAGCCAACGAUGGAUAGGGGUUCUGAGAGGAAGGUCCCCCACAUUGGAACUGAGACACGGUCCAAACUCCUACGGGAGGCAGCAGUGAGGAAUAUUGGUCAAUGGACGAGAGUCUGAACCAGCCAAGUAGCGUGAAGGAUGAAGGUUCUAUGGAUUGUAAACUUCUUUUAUAAGGGAAUAAAACCUCCCACGUGUGGGAGCUUGUAUGUACCUUAUGAAUAAGCAUCGGCUAACUCCGUGCCAGCAGCCGCGGUAAUACGGAGGAUGCGAGCGUUAUCCGGAUUUAUUGGGUUUAAAGGGAGCGCAGACGGGGGAUUAAGUCAGUUGUGAAAGUUUGGGGCUCAACCUUAAAAUUGCAGUUGAUACUGGUUCUCUUGAGUGCAGUUGAGGCAGGCGGAAUUCGUGGUGUAGCGGUGAAAUGCUUAGAUAUCACGAAGAACUCCGAUCGCGAAGGCAUAUGUCCGGAGUGCAACUGACGCUGAGGCUCGAAAGUGUGGGUAUCAAACCAGG